CGGCAGAGCAGCGGGAGCUGAGCGCCGAGCUCGCGACCGUACAGGGAGCGCCGGUCUGCCCCGCCCUGGACCCAACCAAGCGUCCCGUGGAGGGGUGCGGCCACUUGGGGGCAGGAGAAAACGGAGUAAGCCACCCUUCUGGGCACCCAGGAAGCGAGGCGAGCCUCAGGUGGACGCGGUGGUGUAGACCACGACGAUCAGGGCCGUUCCCCGUGCUGUGGAGACGGAGGUACGAGGGGACCCCGGCGGCUCCCCACCUUCUGGCCGAAUGGCCCUCUCCGCCGCCGGCUCGGCUCCCUCGGGGCGCUCCCUCCGGAGCCGAGUCUGGCUGGCCCGGGCGGCUGUUUGGCCUGAGCGUCGUCUUACUAAAGCGGAACGCCGGAGGGGAGGCCACUCCGAGAGGAGGCGGUCCCCAGCGGAGGAGGCUUCGUGAAUCCCGCAGCCACUUGCCCGCCCGCCACUCGGGACGCCGCGCCUCGUGGGUUUCACGCUGGAUGGAGGGGCGCCUCCGAGGAGGCCCAGCCUCCCCCGCUAACUCUGCCUCUCCAGUUCCUCAGAAAACUGCCCAGAGCCUCAAAUAAUUACAGUAAGACGACUCCACUUCCUUCACGUGGCCACAGCAGACAGCCAGGAGCCCAGACACACUGCAAAGCGAGUGCUGUGACUAUGAGAUGGGAAAAGGCAGGAACCCAGAAUCAGGGAUUCCUGACGGAACCGCAACCGCAAGCACAGCGUGGCACUCGGCAGAAACCGGGAAAGGGGCCCCACUCGGAAGGCCAGUGACUUGUUUCAUUUUAAAGUCACUUAAUAAAAAGCCCAUUUAGACAUAUAAUUAAGCAGGGGAAAUGGCAAGUUUUAAGAUGAUUCAUGUGGUGCAGUACCAUCUGUGUUAGGACAAAAAGCCCAACAAAGCGUGCAGACUGGAAGACCAUCCACUUCCUGCUGCCAGCCAUCAUCCCUGAGGAGCAAGUGAUAUGGGGGAGGGAGGGAGACCUUGGCUUUACCUGUAUUUCGGAAAUACUACUCACAUGGCAAUCACGUAUUAUUGGAUGAUGAAAAAUGGUCAAAUAAAUUUGAGAAAGAAAACAA
rnacentral:lncRNA from 1 species